rnacentral:rRNA from 1 species
GAUGAACGCUAGCUACAGGCUUAACACAUGCAAGUCGAGGGGAAACGGCAUUGAGUGCUUGCACUCUUUGGACGUCGACCGGCGCACGGGUGAGUAACGCGUAUCCAACCUUCCCAUUACUGUGGGAUAACCUGCCGAAAGGCAGACUAAUACCGCAUAGUCUUCGAUGACGGCAUCAGAUUUGAAGUAAAGAUUUAUCGGUAAUGGAUGGGGAUGCGUCUGAUUAGCUUGUUGGCGGGGUAACGGCUCACCAAGGCUACGAUCAGUAGGGGUUCUGAGAGGAAGGUCCCCCACAAUGGAACUGAGACACGGUCCAAACUCCUACGGGAGGGAGCAGUGAGGAAGAUUGGGCAAGGGACGGAAGUCUGAACCAGCCAAGUAGCGUGCAGGAGGACGGCCCUAUGGGUGGUAAACUGCUUUUGAAUGGGGAUAAAGUUAGGGACGUGUCCCUAUUUGCAGGUACCAUACGAAUAAGGACCGGCUAAUUCCGUG